GAGGGUAUAGCUCAAGCAGUAGAGUGCAUGCUUGGUAUGCAUGAGGUCCUGGGUUCAAUCCCCAGAACCCCCU
rnacentral:tRNA from 1 species